rnacentral:tRNA from 1 species
CGCCGCAGGGCCUCCCGGCCGGGCGACCGGCCUUCUGACGGCCCGCCCCCGCCCGAGGGCGGGGGACGGAUCGCGCCGUCCGCCACGGC